GGGGGGAUACCAGAGCGGUCAAAUGGGGCGGACUGUAAAUCCGCUGCUUCGGCUACGAAGGUUCGAAUCCUUCUCCCCCCACAA
rnacentral:tRNA from 1 species